AUUGAACGCUGGCGGAAUGCUUUACACAUGCAAGUCGAACGGCAGCACGGGGCAACCUGGUGGCGAGUGGCGAACGGGUGAGUAAUACAUCGGAACGUGCCCAAUCGUGGGGGGAUAACGUAGCGAAAGUUACGCUAAUACCGCAUACGAUCUACGGAUGAAAGCGGGGGAUCGCAAGACCUCGCGCGAAUGGAGCGGCCGAUGUCAGAUUAGGUAGUUGGUGGGGUAAAGGCUCACCAAGCCAACGAUCUGUAGCUGGUCUGAGAGGACGACCAGCCACACUGGAACUGAGACACGGUCCAGACUCCUACGGGAGGCAGCAGCGGGGAAUUUUGGACAAUGGGCGCAAGCCUGAUCCAGCCAUUCCGCGUGCAGGAUGAAGGCCUCGGUUGUAACUGCUUUUGUACGGAACGAAACGGACGAGCUCUAUACAGUUGUCUAAUGACGGUACCGUAAGAAUAAGCACGGCUAACUACGUAG
rnacentral:rRNA from 1 species